AGUCCCUGGGAGAAGGGAGGUGUGUUUGAGGCUACAGAGUUUGGCAAGUAGUCAAAGAGAGAAGUAGGAAAGAGUUUGGGAAAAUAGCAACAGGGUUUUGGAGCAAGCAAACAGGAGUUGCUAGACAUACAGUGGCUACCGGCCACUGGGGAAGUGGCAUAGGACCCAGCCUUGCAGCAGAAGACUGUCUGAAACAGCAUAUGGACAGCUGAUAUAGUGGGCCUUUGAUACCCUGGAAGGGGCAGACUAGACAGCGACUUGGCUGGAGGGCUGAGUCAUGAAGAGGGAGCUCCAUGAGCCCUGGAAAGGGAGGAGGAAUGUGGUGUGAACAACUCUUGGCAAGGGGCAUCGGACCUGCCUAGUGCUAAUCCUCAGAUGUUUCCACAAAUUGGGGUCCAAUGCUAAGUAAACCCCAUGGUAAGCCCUCACAGAUCUGCGAAGGUUCUCAGAGUGUGGUCUGUGGACCACCAGUGGUCUGCGAGCUCCAUUCAGGCGGUCCAUGGAUAGUUCCUUCUAAGGUGUGCGCCUGGGCAGCCGAAUACAAGAGAAUGAAGGGCCACCCACCUAAUUAGUGGAGCCAUGCAGAUGAUGUAGGUGGCGCACAUGUAAGGUGAUAACCAAUAUUGAACAUUCUGUAGUUUAUGAAUGAACUGCUUAGCAGGAGAAGAGUCAUAAACAUCCAGCAAUGCCUGCAUAAGACAAUGAAGGACUAGGUCUCUGAUACUUGGGAUAAUGUUUAUCAGAGAACCAACAAGCUUGCAAGAUGGAAUAUUCUGAGUUGUUCUUCAUCACGGGUCAUAAAUUGUUAUUGAUCCGACAUGUCGUCAUCAUCAUCUUCUAUAAUUAUACUGAGUGCUGACCCUGGAUAUUCAGAAAGGGCAGUCGUGUUGCUAAUCUUACCCUUGUUAUAUGACACAUUUGCUAGUAAGCCUGUGUGGCCAUGUGUUUUUUUUUUAAUCAGAGCAUUUCUUUGAAAAUAUCAAAAUUGAGGCAAAGACAAAGGAUGAGGCUGAAUAAAUUUGUAGCCCUAUUCAGUUAGGCACUUUUCUGCUUAGAGUUUUUUUUUCUCCACUUGGGCAAUUAUUAUUUCCACCAUUGAGCUUCUCAGCCUUGAUGUGCAAAUAGAAAAGGGGUGAUCAGGAGGGGUGAAUGUUUUCUUCUUUAGGUUGAAACAUUGCCAUCGAAAUGGCAAAGGAGGUUUCUCCUCUCCAGGCCCAAUUGAUCAAGAUUUUUAGGCCGAAUUCAGCCCUGAUGUGAGCAGGUGCUGAUUUCAGUGGAGCUGCAUCCACCUAUAAUACCCAUUCAUCAUGGAUGCUGCAAAGUGGAAUAAAUGAACAGGCUGUUGCUAUACCCAGCAAUUGGCCCACACCGGUAAAGGGGAGAACAAAGGGGUCAUUUGUACCUUUUCGUGGCCUCCUUCCAAUUACUUCCCAUUUCCCAGCUAAAAACAUAGGGCCAGAGCUUUCCGUCUGCUUCCUCUAUGCAAUAGUGCAUUCAUUUUUUUAUAGAAAUCUUGAUUUGUAACUAUAUUUAAAACUUCAGCGUGAACCACUGAAAAUACUGCAGGAUUGAAUCCAUUUAAGUUCUAGGUGUAGUGAUUUCUGCACAAAAAUUAACGUUUCCAUUGAGGUGGCAUGUGAAAAUAAUUUAUCUACCUUGUGACUAAAACACCAGACAACAUGGAAAAAUCUCAUCAGUAUCACUCUGUCUGGCUAUCAGGACUAAUAGGACAUUGUUAGAAAUGUGAAUGUAAACAGACUUAUUGAAGAGAAACAUUCUAAUCUUACGCUAUAACUUUUUUUUUUUAAAUGAACAAAAUAAAACUAUUGCAUCCCAUUUUGGGCUUCAAGAUGUAACCCUUGAGUAGUUAUUUUGGUUUGUCAUUCAAAUUGCUUGAUCAAAUUCAAUCCUUGUAUUGUCAGUACUCACUUAUUAGUCUUAAUAUAGUACAUAAUAUAGGUACCAGGAAAUAACUACACUCAACCUCAACACAAAGAAAUAGCUAGGAAAAAAUUCAGUAAGUCUUGUUUUCUUUGUAAUCUAUUUCUUUGUAUUUUUGUAAUAUAACUUUACAUUUUUGCUAAAUAUAUUUACUAUUUCACUUUGGAUGUGCCUG